rnacentral:rRNA from 1 species
UACGAAGGGGGCGAGCGUUGUUCGGAAUUACUGGGCGUAAAGGGCGCGCAGGCGGCGCCGGAAGUCGGGCGUGAAAGCCCCGGGCUCAACCUGGGAAUUGCGCUUGAUACUCCGGUGCUGGAGUUCGGGAGAGGAGAGUGGAAUUCCCAGUGUAGAGGUGAAAUUCGUAGAUAUUGGGAAGAACACCGGUGGCGAAGGCGGCUCUCUGGACCGAGACUGACGCUGAGGCGCGAAAGCGUGGGGAGCAAACAGGAUUAGAUACCCUGGUAGUCCACGCCGUAAACGAUGUGUGCUAGACGUUGGGGAGCCUAGCUCUUCGGUGUCGCAGCUAACGCUUUAAGCACACCGCCUGGGGAGUACGGCCGCAAGGUUAAA